UCAGAAUGACUAGAAAGUUGG
rnacentral:piRNA from 1 species